GGGUUCCAAGUUAUCAGAAGAAGAGGCAGAGAAUAGAAAGUUGAUGCCACAGUGUCAAAUACCCAAGUUGGUUCCGGGUAGUGAAUAAUGUGAUUGUCUUCAGAAGAAAGGCCUUUAUAUAUGUUGGUCUCUGAGAGGACUGGAUUUGCAGACUGGCUUUUUUCACCUUGAGGCAAAUUAUCUAGUUUUAUGGUUAUGUUUUUGCCUACUUUGAGUUAGUUCUCAAACAACAAUGUAAAUAUCGAAAACUCCCUUGUUUUUGUAAUCCA
rnacentral:lncRNA from 1 species